UACGUAGGGUGCAAGCGUUGUCCGGAAUUAUUGGGCGUAAAGAGCUCGUAGGCGGUCUGUCGCGUCGAAUGUGAAAACCCGGGGCUCAACCCCGGGCCUGCAUUCGAUACGGGCAGACUAGAGUUCGGAAGAGGCGAGUGGAAUUCCCGGUGUAGCGGUGAAAUGCGCAGAUAUCGGGAGGAACACCUAUGGCGAAGGCAGCUCGCUGGGACGUUACUGACGCUGAGACGCGAAAGCGUGGGGAGCAAACAGG
rnacentral:rRNA from 1 species